rnacentral:sRNA from 1 species
UUGACAGCAGUGGUAAUACAGCCCUCUCUUUGUGCCCAGAUCAGGUACUAUAUAGCACUGUCACAACCAGUGCAAGCUUCCUCCACGCUGCCUCCCAAAUGUACCUUAAUCUGACCUGAAAGAACCAUCUCUAGGGAUGAGAGGAAAGUGCAGUCUCUAUGUCCUUUAAAUCCUUAACCUCU